rnacentral:rRNA from 1 species
GAUGAACGCUGGCGGCGUGCCUAAUACAUGCAAGUCGAGCGAACGGACGAGAAGCUUGCUUUUCUGAUGUUAGCGGCGGACGGGUGAGUAACACGUGGAUAACCUACCUAUAAGACUGGGAUAACUUCGGGAAACCGGAGCUAAUACCGGAUAAUAUUUUGAACCGCAUGGUUCAACAGUGAAAGACGGUCUUGCUGUCACUUAUAGAUGGAUCCGCGCUGCAUUAGCUAGUUGGUAAGGUAACGGCUUACCAAGGCAACGAUGCAUAGCCGACCUGAGAGGGUGAUCGGCCACACUGGAACUGAGACGCGGUCCAGACUCCUACGGGAGGCAGCAGUAGGGAAUCUUCCGCAAUGGGCGAAAGCCUGACGGAGCAACGCCGCGUGAGUGAUGAAGGUCUUCGGAUCGUAAAACUCUGUUAUUAGGGAAGAACAUAUGUGUAAGUAACUGUGCACAUCUUGACGGUACCUAAUCAGAAAGCCACGGCUAACUACGUG